UGGAAGAUUAGCAGUGGUCUGUCUCUUCAGC
rnacentral:piRNA from 1 species